ACUUGGAAAAAACAUACAUCAUAUUGCAAUAUAAUUUACUUUGAGAUUUCAAUUUGGAAAAUGGCAUGGAAAUAAUCCAGCUUGAACAUCGUCCUCCUCACCUCCUGGACUAGGGCGAGGGCCCCUUAUAUUUCUUCAUGGCAAUUGUGUCACAGUUCAAACGCUCGUACCCUGACUCCAUCUGGGAUUUGGAAUGCACUCAGGGAAGUGGCUGUGCAUGGAGACUAGAAAUGGAAGAGGCUUCCAAGGUCAUGCCUUUCAGGCUCCCUUCAAAUUCUACAGCUACUGUGAAGAGAGUUGCAUUCCCACAGAGAACAUGUCAGACUGGAGGAAAAUUGUGACAAAAGGUCUCCCCAAAGAUCGAGGAAAGGAGGUUUGCCUGAAAAGGAGCCAGAGUGGUUCCGCCCAGACUGACGUGCUUCUGGCAGCCGGUGUGUACUGCUUGGUGACUGCUCUUUCAUUUCAGGUGGUGAUUUACCAAAUGCCGCUUUUUUUCUGUAUGACACAGGCGUGGCCAAACAUAGUCACCACUCAGAAUGUUGGGGAAGUUUCUCGUCCCCAUCAAACAGAGGGAGCAACCCUUGGUGGUUCAACAAUGAAGCCUCCAUUAGCUGAGAAGUCUAACUGUGAUUUAUCAUUCCCUACCUAUAAAGAUUGUAAACAAA
rnacentral:lncRNA from 1 species